rnacentral:rRNA from 1 species
UACGUAGGCAGCAAGCGUUGUUCGGAAUUACUGGGCGUAAAGAGUGUGUAGGCGGUGCUCUAAGUUCGGUGUGAAAUCUCCUGGCUUAACUGGGAGGGUGCGCCGGAAACUGGAGUGCUCGAGCGUGGGAGAGGAAAGCGGAAUUCCUGGUGUAGCGGUGAAAUGCGCAGAUAUCAGGAGGAACACCAAUGGCGAAGGCAGCUCGCUGGGACGGUACUGACGCUGAGACGCGAAAGCGUAGGGAGCAAACAGG